GGAUCCAGACUUUGAUCCUGGCUCAUGACGAACGCUGGCGGCGCGCCUAACACAUGCAAGUCGAACGGAGAUUACAGGCGGAAGUUUUCGGAUGGAAGCUUGUAAACUUAGUGGCGGACGGGUGAGUAACACGUGAGCAACCUGCCUAUCAGAGGGGGAUAACGAUUGGAAACGAUCGCUAAUACCGCAUGACAUAGCGGAACCGCAUGGUUUUGCUAUCAAAGAUUUUAUCGCUGAUAGAUGGGCUCGCGUCCGAUUAGAUAGUUGGUGGGGUAACGGCCUACCAAGUCGACGAUCGGUAGCCGGACUGAGAGGUCGAACGGCCACAUUGGGACUGAGACACGGCCCAGACUCCUACGGGAGGCAGCAGUGGGGGAUAUUGCACAAUGGGGGAAACCCUGAUGCAGCGACGCCGCGUGAGGGAAGACGGUCCUCUGGAUUGUAAACCUCUGUCUUCGGGGACGAAACGAGACGGUACCCGAGGAGGAAGCCACGGCUAACUACGUGCCAGCAGCCGCGGUAAUACGUAGGUGGCAAGCGUUGUCCGGAAUUACUGGGUGUAAAGGGAGCGUAGGCGGGCAGGCAAGUCAGGCGUGAAAUAUAUCGGCUCAACCGGUAACGGCGCUUGAAACUGCAGGUCUUGAGUGAAGUAGAGGUUGGCGGAAUUCCUAGUGUAGCGGUGAAAUGCGUAGAUAUUAG
rnacentral:rRNA from 1 species